rnacentral:rRNA from 1 species
CCUACGGUGGCAGCAGUGGGGAAUAUUGGACAAUGGGCGAAAGCCUGAUCCAGCCAUGCCGCGUGUGUGAAGAAGGCCUUCGGGUUGUAAAGCACUUUCAGUGGGGAAGAAAGCCUUGGGGCUAAUACCCUCGAGGAAGGACAUCACCCACAGAAGAAGCACCGGCUAACUCCGUGCCAGCAGCCGCGGUAAUACGGAGGGUGCGAGCGUUAAUCGGAAUUACUGGGCGUAAAGCGCGCGUAGGCGGUCUGAUAAGCCGGUUGUGAAAGCCCCGGGCUCAACCUGGGAACGGCAUCCGGAACUGUCAGGCUAGAGUGCAGGAGAGGAAGGUAGAAUUCCCGGUGUAGCGGUGAAAUGCGUAGAGAUCGGGAGGAAUACCAGUGGCGAAGGCGGCCUUCUGGACUGACACUGACGCUGAGGUGCGAAAGCGUGGGUAGCAAACAGGAUUAGAUACCCGAGUAGUC